GACGAACGCUGGCGGCGUGCUUAACACAUGCAAGUCGAGCGAGGCCCACUCUUCGGGGUGGUGCCCUAGCGGCGAACGGGUGAGUAACACGUGGGCAACCUGCCCUCAGCUCUGGGAUAACUCCAAGAAAUUGGUGCUAAUACCGGAUGUGACCGCUGACCGCAUGGUCUGGUGGUGGAAAGUUUUUCGGUCUGGGAUGGGCUCGCGGACUAUCAGCUUGUUGGUGGGGUGANGGCCUACCAAGGCGACGACGGUUAGCCGGCCUGAGAGGGCGACCGGCCACACUGGGACUGAGACACGGCCCAGACUCCUACGGGAGGCAGCAGUGGGGAAUAUUGCACAAUGGGCGGAAGCCUGAUGCAGCGACGCCGCGUGAGGGAUGACGGCCUGGU
rnacentral:rRNA from 1 species